rnacentral:rRNA from 1 species
AUUGAACGCUGGCGGCAGGCCUAACACAUGCAAGUCGAGCGAGCGGCGGACGGGCGAGUAAUGUAUGGGGACUGCCCGAUAGAGGGGGAUAACUAGUGGAAACGGUGGCUAAUCCCGCAUACUAUGGGAUAACCCAUAGGGGAUUCGCUAGUAGGUGGGGUAAAGGCUCACCUUGGCGACGAACUCUAGCUGGUCUGAGAGGAUGAUCAGCUAGACGGGGACUGAGACACGGACCAUACUCCUACGGAGGCAGAAGUGGGGAAUAUUGCGCAAUGGGAGCAAGCCUGAAUCAGCCAGGCCGGGUGUAUGAAGAAGGCAUUAGGGUUGUAAAGUACUGUCAGCGGGGAGGCGGUACCCGCAGAAGAAGCACCGGCUAACUCCGUGCCAGCAGCCGCGGUAAUUC